ACGCUCGACACCUACGUGAGGCAGCAGUGGGGAAUAUUGCACAAUGGAGGAAACUCUGAUGCAGCGAUGCCGCGUGAGGGAAGAAGGUUUUCGGAUUGUAAACCUCUGUCUUUGGGGACGAUAAUGACGGUACCCAAGGAGGAAGCUCCGGCUAACUACGUGCAAGCAGCCGCGGUAAUCUGAGCGGGCUGGCAAGGC
rnacentral:rRNA from 1 species